rnacentral:rRNA from 1 species
CCUACGGGUGACAGCAGUGGGGGAUAUUGCACAAUGGGGGGAACCCUGAUGCAGCGACGCCGCGUGGAUGAAGAAGCGCCUCGGCGCGUAAAGCCCUGUCAGUAGGGAAGAAAAUGACGGUACCUGAAGAAGAAGCCCCGGCUAACUACGUGCCAGCAGCCGCGGUAAUACGUAGGGGGCAAGCGUUAUCCGGAUUUACUGGGUGUAAAGGGGGCGCAGGCGGCAGGGCAAGCCUGAUGGGAAAGCCCGGGGCUCAACCCCGGGACUGCAUUGGGAACUGCCCCGCCCGAGUGCCGGAGGGGCAGGCGGAAUUCCGAGGGUAGCGGUGAAAUGGGUAGAUAUUAGGAGGAACACCAGUGGCGAAGGCGGCAUGCUGGACGGGGUACUGACGCUGAGGCUCGAAAGCGUGGGGAGCAAACAGGAUUAGAUACCCCUGUAGUC